rnacentral:tRNA from 1 species
ACCCGGCUGGCUCAGUCGGUAGAGCGCUGGACUCUCGAUCUCAGGGUUGUGAGUUCAAGUCCCAUGCUGGGCA